rnacentral:rRNA from 1 species
AGCAGUCGCCACGGUAAUACAGAGGGUGCGAGCGUUAAUCGGAUUUACUGGGCGUAAAGCGUGCGUAGGCGGCUUUUUAAGUCGGAUGUGAAAUCCCUGAGCUUAACUUAGGAAUUGCAUUCGAUACUGGGAAGCUAGAGUAUGGGAGAGGAUGGUAGAAUUCCAGGUGUAGCGGUGAAAUGCGUAGAGAUCUGGAGGAAUACCGAUGGCGAAGGCAGCCAUCUGGCCUAAUACUGACGCUGAGGUACGAAAGCAUGGGGAGCAAACAGGAUUAGAUACCCCGGUAGUCCCUGUCUCUUAUAU